UGGUGGUGGUGCUUUUUUGCUUCAAUCUCAAACGAGGUGUUCUGAAGAAAAAUGUCGUCCAACUUUUGUCAAUUCGCGUGGAGCACGUUGAGCCCCAUGAUUAUGGAGUCUCGUCUCUCAGAUCAGAUAAUGUCGUAAACGAGCUACCCUGUCUUUCUUUCUCAACUGAUGGUCUGGGAAAAUGUUGGAUAUGGGCCAUACUGCCACCCUGCGCACAAAGCUUAUUAAGAUAACCCGGCCGAAUAAUAACGGCAACUGAAAACAACGCUACCUGCACUCUCGUCCCUGCUCUCGCAAUCAACCUGUAAGCACAACCUGUUCCAGGCGUUAUGAUCGAAAUGUAUUCAAAUACUACAUGGUAGAUGUGCCUUCAAAGCAAAAGGCUCAAGUGAGAUGUGGUAAAUCCUAGAAUGGCUUUAUUGAAGUGGAAGAGCAGGACUUAAAGCCCCCACAAUGAGCACUUUGAUCAAGUUGUGUUGUCCCGUGAUGGGAGACGGGUCCCUUUGUGGAGCGAUCAAACUUCAAACAUGCCAUGAGUGGAAACCCCACAUAACCAAAGAUCACCUACGGGACAUUCAUGCAACCAUCCAUGUUUAAUGUACGACUUAGCAGUACAGAGCAUGCAUAUCUACCUACGUAGGGAACGUACCGUCUAGGAGCGUCGACGUCGAUAAUUUCUGGUGGCAGGCAGCACGCAUUCAACAAUGUUCGAUUGCUGAAUAGCCUUUUCUGCAAGUUCAUUCAUGUCACUCACAUCCUGUCAUUAUGAUCCAAUUGGGGCUCGCCAGAGCCAAAAUUGGCAGUGCCUCCAAAAGGAAUUGUACGUACG